rnacentral:piRNA from 1 species
UAGGAAUCUCUAACAUUGGACUGAAUA